UGAUUAUCCAGGCAAGUUCAAGGCCACAAUAAACACAAUAAAGAACUUAGUUCUACUAGAAAACGAAGUUGUGUUAGACCUGCUGUCUAAGUUUACAUCAAAGUCCGGAUGGUUCAAGACAUCAUGUUCACCAUAUGGCCGAAUAAACUCGACAGGUAUUAACAAUGAGUAAGUUCAAAGCUGAAAAACGCCACCAACUCAGAUACAGUUAGUUUUCGCAUAUACUCU
rnacentral:lncRNA from 1 species